AUGCUCCUUUUCAGAAUGAUGAUUGCAGUGGAAACUUUCUUGUGUUUGCGAACGCAGACGGACACUCGACACCAAGUUUCUCCAUGGACGGCAUGCAUUUACAUGCAUAAUACGGCGGAUGUGCCCACUCUGACUGCAGCUCAUUUCCUAAGUCGCAAGAAACGCUGGUAUUUUUCAAAAGUGAUUUCAAAGACUUUGUGUAUGUGCGUGUGUGUGCGCACGCGUGCGUGUAUGAAAGCAGCCAUAUUUAUGAUUUGGACUUAACUAUUUGGGUGUAUUUUCCCAAAUGAUACCAGGGGCAACGUAACAUCUACUGUUUAAAAGCCCCAUGCUAUUCAUAAGAGAUUAUACUGGAGUAAACAUUACAGUAGCAGUAAUGAUCUAAUUAAAAGAAUCAGACAUACUUAAAAGAGUCCUUCUUUCAGGAGGGAGGGGGGAAGAAAAAUCAAUGAUGCAAUCCAUAGUCCGGAAUGGGGCGAAGCAUUUUACUGUGAUCAAACACAGUCUAUCUAGUACAUAUCUGAAGUCCUCUGGUCUUUGUUACUUAAUGUGAUGCGGAAGAUCAGAGAUGCGUGCAGUCUGUGUUCCAGGGUUCCAGCUGAGUCGCUGUCAUAUGUUAAGCUUUUUUUUUUUUUUUAAGUUGGCUAUAAUUCUACCUUACUCCAAGUGAACAGUGUUUCCAUUAAACUAAGCAUUUCCCCAAAUCUGGCAAGAACCUUGCAUGGGGAUUUUCCUGAAGCAACCUAAAUGUGACCCUAAAGCACACCUACGAAUCUAGGUUUGCACGACACUGAGCUCCGUGCUGGCUCCCAUAUCUCUACCCUAAAGAAACACAGGUAUUGUGUGUGUGUGUGAGAUGCAGGGUGACAGAAAAAAAAGGGAGUGCAAGCCCUAUAGCACUCAUUGUCUACAUGAGUGCCAAUACAUAUGUCGGCUUAUGUUUGGAAGACAUCAUUUUCUUCCCAGCUGCUUUCUUUUGUACCUGCCUCCCAGCACUUGAAGUGGGGCCUGCAAACCAGGUUUGAAAUGUGGCCGGACGGAAAUGCAGUAGCCAGGACAGAAUGGGAAACUCAGGAAGGAGGCUAAGGUGGGAGUCUCCGGUGUGGCCGGGAAGCCAUCCCCCCAGGAGGCCACGGGGGGGAGCUGUGGCUCUGCUCAGGGCGGCCACAGCCAGUAGGGGGGAGGAGAGGGCGGAAAAUAUACUGUAGCAAAGCGAUGGUGGAAGAGGAAAGGUAGGUUUUAUAAGUUCCUGAAUUUUAUGACUAUGCUGCAACGGUGGAAUGUCCACUCAAUCUGUUGCGAAGUUAGCACAGAAAACAUGCACUGGGCAUAUUAAGUACAGGAUGAAAUGGUGCAGUGAAUAUUUAUUAGCAAAAAUAUAGGUUCUCAAAAACAGAAAUAAAACAGGGUAAUAGAUGAAGGGAAGAAUAGAUUUAACACUGAAAUAAAUAUCAAAGGUGCAAAGAAAAGGCAAAAUAUAGUGUUCAAACAAAGCUGUGAAUUGGGUCCAGAUUUAAUGCUCCCCUAGGGAAGAAAAGGUUGGACAGACUGCUGGAAUUGAGAUACUACUUUUAGUACACAGUCCCUGUAAUGCUGUCAGCUUUAUUUCCUUUGACAAAUGUGAAAUAAAAUUUGUCAAAGUUAGGGCUUGGAAAGUUGGCUAUUGAAAAUUCAAUUGGUAAUAACUAGUAUAGCCUAGCACUCCGGAGAUUUUUAAAGGAGAGGGAUGUUUAAGAUGCUGGGGUGCGGGGGGAACCAUAUUACAUAUUGUAUUUCAGUUUUUAAAAAUUUAGCAGUUGACUUAGGCAACUGGAUUUCUGAGUUUCCUGUUAGCUGGGUUCACCGUUAAAAGGCGAUAAUUUAAAACCCGUUUCCACGAUAACUACAAUUAUAUUGUAAGUUUGAAAAUAUUCUGGUGUCUACACAGAGGAGGGCUCCUAUGAUCUCACUCAGCUUGGGGUCCACACGCCACGAAGACUUUGCUUGAUCCAAUUCUAUAGUAGUGCAGGGCGUGAUUGUGAAGUCAGUGCUACCCUCAUUCCACACUACAGAAUUCCUGACUCUGCUUCUCCUUCCACCAUGCAUUGGACACAUUUGCAGUGCAAACGGUGAUUUACUGGGAAUGUUUAACAACAGACUUUUCAUGUCUUCACAAGCCUCAGCCUUUCCCUUGCUGGGUGCAUGGCAGGUUUUCCGGGGAAGCUCUUGGAAGCCACUUCUCUCCCAUGCCGCUUGGCCAGCCCCACCCCCGC
rnacentral:lncRNA from 1 species